AUGCCUUAAACUGAUGAGUAAGGAAAAUAACGAUGCGGGGUGACGCCCGUAUCCUCGUACAACUUACGAGAAGAAUUUUUGAAGGGGUAAAGGCCUGCCUGCUGAGGUGACUCGCUUACUUCGCGAGAUGCCUCGCAGUUCCAGGGCCUUCCCC
rnacentral:snRNA from 1 species